ACGCUAGCGGCAGGCUUAACACAUGCAAGUCGAGGGGCAGCGCGGGGCGGCAACGUCCUGGCGGCGACCGGCGGAAGGGUGCGUAACGCGUGAGCGACAUGCCCGUUGCCCGGGGACAACCGGUGGAAACGCCGACUAAUCCCCGAUGGGACGGAGGCCCUCAUGGGUCUCCGUUGAAAGUUACGGCGGCGACGGAUUGGCUCGCGUCCGAUUAGCUAGUUGGCGGGGUAACGGCCCACCAAGGCUACGAUCGGUAGGGGUUCUGAGAGGAAGGUCCCCCACAAUGGAACUGAGACACGGUCCAUACUCCUACGGGAGGCAGCAGUGAGGAAUAUUGGUCAAUGGGCGGAAGCCUGAACCAGCCAUGCCGCGUGCGGGAAGGAGGCCCUAUGGGCUGUGAACCGCUUUUGCCUGGGGGCAAUAAGGGCGUCGGGCACGUCCGAUGAGAGUACCAGGCGAAUAAGCAUCGGCUAACUCCGUGCCAGCAGCCGCGGUAAUACGGGGGAUGCGAGCGUUAUCCGGAUUCAUUGGGUUUAAAGGGUGCGUAGGCUGUGCGUCAAGUCAGGGGUGAAAUUCCGGGGCUCAACUCCGGGGCUGCCCUUGAUACUGUCGCGCUGGAGUGCGGAUGCCGCCGGAGGAAUGAGUGGUGUAGCGGUGAAAUGCUUAGAUAUCACUCAGAACACCGAUUGCGAAGGCAUCUGGCGAAUCCGUAACUGACGCUGAGGCACGAAAGCGUGGGGAUAGAACAGGAUUAGAUCCCCUGGUAUUCCACGCCGUAAACGAUGAUGGCUAACCGCCGGCGACACACUGUCGGUGGCCAAGCGAAAGCGAUAAGCCAUCCACCUGGGGAGUACGUCGGCAACGAUGAAACUCAAAGGAAUUGACGGGGGCCCGCACAAGCGGAGGAACAUGUGGUUUAAUUCGAUGAUACGCGAGGAACCUUACCCGGGCUCGAACGGCGCCUGAACCACCCAGAGAUGGGUGGGUCUUCGGACAGGUGCCGAGGUGCUGCAUGGUUGUCGUCAGCUCGUGCCGUGAGGUGU
rnacentral:rRNA from 1 species